GAUCCUGGCUCAGGAUGAACGCUAGCUACAGGCUUAACACAUGCAAGUCGGGGGGAAACGAUAUUGGAAGCUUGCUUCCGAUAGGCGUCGACCGGCGCACGGGUGAGUAACGCGUAUCCAACCUGCCCACCACUUGGGGAUAACCUUGCGAAAGUAAGACUAAUACCCAAUGAUAUCUCUAGAAGACAUCUGAAGGAGAUUAAAGAUUUAUCGUG
rnacentral:rRNA from 1 species